rnacentral:rRNA from 1 species
CAGUCGCCGCGGGAAUACGAAGGGUGCAAGCGUUAAUCGGAAUUACUGGGCGUAAGGCGUGCGUAGGCGGUGAGUUAAGUCUGCUGUGAAAUCCCCGGGCUCAACCUGGGAAUGGCAGUGGAUACUGGCUCGCUAGAGUGUGUCAGAGGAUGGUGGAAUUCCCGGUGUAGCUGUGAAAUGCGUAGAGAUCGGGAGGAACAUCAGUGGCGAAGGCGGCCAUCUGGGACAACACUGACGCUGAGGCACGAAAGCGUGGGGAGCAAACAGGAUUAGAUACCCCCGUAGUCCCUGUCUCUUAUAA